UACGUAGGGCGCAAGCGUUAUCCGGAAUUAUUGGGCGUAAAGAGCUCGUAGGCGGUUUGUCGCGUCUGCUGUGAAAACCUAAGGCUCAACCUUGGGCUUGCAGUGGGUACGGGCAGACUAGAGUGCGGUAGGGGUGACUGGAAUUCCUGGUGUAGCGGUGGAAUGCGCAGAUAUCAGGAGGAACACCGAUGGCGAAGGCAGGUCACUGGGCCGCAACUGACGCUGGAG
rnacentral:rRNA from 1 species